GGCUCACCAAGGCGACGAUGCGUAGCCGACCUGAGAGGGUGAUCGGCCACACUGGGACUGAGACACGGCCCAGACUCCUACGGGAGGCAGCAGUAGGGAAUCUUCCGCAAUGGACGAAAGUCUGACGGAGCAACGCCGCGUGAGUGAUGAAGGUUUUCGGAUCGUAAAACUCUGUUGUUAGGGAAGAACAAGUACGAUAGUAACUGAUCGUACCUUGACGGUACCUAACCAGAAAGCCACGGCUAACUACGUGCCAGCAGCCGCGGUAAUACGUAGGUGGCAAGCGUUGUCCGGAAUUAUUGGGCGUAAAGCGCUCGCAGGCGGUCCUUUAAGUCUGAUGUGAAAUCUCGCGGCUCAACCGCGAACGGUCAUUGGAAACUGGAGGACUUGAGUACAGAAGAGGAGAGUGGAAUUCCACGUGUAGCGGUGAAAUGCGUAGAGAUGUGGAGGAACACCAGUGGCGAAGGCGACUCUCUGGUCUGUAACUGACGCUGAGGAGCGAAAGCGUGGGGAGCGAACAGGAUUAGAUACCCUGGUAGUCCACGCCGUAAACGAUGAGUGCUAGGUGUUAGGGGGUUUCCGCCCCUUAGUGCUGAAGUUAACGCAUUAAGCACUCCG
rnacentral:rRNA from 1 species